GCCAGGUGUGGUGGCGCACGCCUUUAAUUCCAGCACUUGAGAGGCAGAGGCAGGUGGAUUUCUGAGUUUGAGGCCAGUCUGGUCUACAGAGUGAGUUCCAGGACAGCCAGGGCUACACAGAGAAACCCUGUCUCGAAAAACAACAACAACAAAACCAAAACAUAAUAAAACAAAACCACCAAAUAUUUUAUUGGUUUUUUGAGACAGGGUUUCUCUGUGUAGCCCUGGCUGUCCUGGAACUCACUCUGUAGACCAGGCUGGCCUCAAACUCAGAAAUCCACCUGCCUC
rnacentral:SRP_RNA from 1 species